rnacentral:ncRNA from 2 species
AAUAUAGGCAAAUCUAGCGAAAGCUGGAGACGCAAAGCUUAAGAAUCUAAAGCGGGAAACCCUGCCAUGAUCGUCUGGCUGC